rnacentral:rRNA from 1 species
GGACGGGUGAGUAAUGCCUAGGAAAUUGCCCUGAUGUGGGGGAUAACCAUUGGAAACGAUGGCUAAUACCGCAUGAUGCCUACGGGCCAAAGAGGGGGACCUUCGGGCCUCUCGCGUCAGGAUAUGCCUAGGUGGGAUUAGCUAGUUGGUGAGGUAAGGGCUCACCAAGGCGACGAUCCCUAGCUGGUCUGAGAGGAUGAUCAGCCACACUGGAACUGAGACACGGUCCAGACUCCUACGGGAGGCAGCAGUGGGGAAUAUUGCACAAUGGGCGCAAGCCUGAUGCAGCCAUGCCGCGUGUAUGAAGAAGGCCUUCGGGUUGUAAAGUACUUUCAGUCGUGAGGAAGGUGGUGGCGUUAAUAGCGGUAUCAUUUGACGUUAGCGACAGAAGAAGCACCGGCUAACUCCGUGCCAGCAGCCGCGGUAAUACGGAGGGUGCGAGCGUUAAUCGGAAUUACUGGGCGUAAAGCGCAUGCAGGUGGUUUGUUAAGUCAGAUGUGAAAGCCCGGGGCUCAACCUCGGAAUAGCAUUUGAAACUGGCAGACUAGAGUACUGUAGAGG